rnacentral:lncRNA from 1 species
GUAGGAAGACAAAAACUCUCUCCUCAUCUUGGGCCACGGAAGUUCAAUCAAGAUCUCCUUAAAUUGGAUCGAAUUCAAAACGUUGGAAUGAAAUGGGGGGCUUAAGCUGAGCUUCCAUGGAAGCUUCUAGGUAGACCGCAGGGUUCUUACCAUAUAGCUUAAAAGUACAAUUUUCUCUUCCUGCUCUUAAUUAACCAGUGGUUAUAAUGAAUUUUCUAACCGGCGCGGUUAAAGCAGUGGGGUUAAACCGGCAAGUCAUGGAACGGCUGAUAGGCUCGAUCCUCUUCGAACCUACCAAGGUGUUAUAUCGGCUCCUUCUCUACUAUUUAGAUUUUUUUGUUCUCUUUUAUUUUCCAUUAAAUUCUUGUUCUUUCGUUAAUUCUGCUGUGAUUAUUUCUGCAAUUAAAAGGUGCAACUAUGUUCGAAUUUGUUUCAACAGUGUUUAUAUCCCUCGUUAAUUCAUGAAUGUGAAACUUGUUCCAGUGAAUGCCAUAUAAAGGAACUUUUUUUUCUUCUAAACUGAUUAAAGUAUUACAUAGUGUCAAUAAGAAUGCGGUAAUUGGUAACAGAUAAGUUGCUUAGUAUUGAUGUACAACACCUCAGAUUCUUUUUAUGUAGUUGUUAAAUACUAACGAAUAAAAUUGUGCAUUUGUUUCUUUGUCAAGUGACUUGUAUUGGUGUUUCUGUUAUGCAUAAUUUGAUUUUUUUAACAACUUGCAGCUGCAAAAAAAAAUUAAGAGUUUUUUAAUUAAAAAAAGGUUAAGUAAUUCUACCAGCGAAUCGUAUCUCUAAGUUAUUUCAAAAACGAUGACUGUUAACUCUCUUCAAAAUUGAUUUCAAAACAACAACAGAUUUCAAAAUGAUUUGAAAUCUUUAGAAUAUCUUGAAAAUUAUCGUGAAAAGAGUGUCCACGCUAUUUUGUUUUUAGGGUAAUUCUCUCAGAUAACCCUAAAAUAGGUUUUUCUUCAAAUAGCCCACAAACCGGAAAAUAACCACAAUAGAUUUAUGAGAUAAAAAAACUCUUAUAUUCUUACUUUAUAUAUAUAUAUUUACAUAUACAUAAUUAUUUAAAUAAAUAAUGUAUAUAUAUAAUUUAUUAUUUUUGAAUAAUACAUUUUUAAAUUUAAACUUUUUAUAAUAUUAAUUUUUAAAAGUUUUUAAAAAAAAAUUAUUUUGAAAUCCGAAAAUCAUUAUUGAAACUAUUAAAAAAAUAUCUAAAAUUUUUAGUAUUUAUUUUAAAAUCUUAAAAUGCACUCCCAAAAAUCUCAUCCUCAAAUCUUGAUUGGUUAAUCCUAGGAAUAAAAUGUCUAUUUACUCUUCAAUAAAACUUCUUUAGUUCAUUUUGACUCUUGAAUGUUAUAUUUGUGAUAAAAAAAAUUUAAAGGUCAUCCUAUGGAUUUAUCUGGUUUUUAAAUGGAUAUAGUAUUAAAAUAAAACUAAUUCUAUUCAAUUUUGAUAAUUGGAUUUUUUUUUGCAAAACCAAGUUUAAAAUACAGAAUAUGUUUUUUUAUUAGAAGAAUUGUUAUCAUGAACGUAAAUUUCCUACAAAGCAAAAAGAGACAUGUUGUAAAUGUUUUUAAAGGUUUCCAAUGUUCAAGUCAUCAAAUAAACGAAGAAAUCGAGAUAUUAAUGGGAAAGGAAGGUCUGACGCCAAAUUCAAUGGAUCAAGAAAGUUACAGUGAAUUUAGGGAUAACAUUUUACGUUAAAGAGUUGACCCAAGACUUUUUGUCGGAAAGUAUGGAUGAAACCAGGUCUUGAAGUUGUGUUACAAAAAAAAAAAAAAAAACCAGGUCUUGAAGUUAAGGACAUGCACAAUGUUCCAAGAGUGUGUUUAGGGAGAGAUCUAAGCUCAAGAAAAUAUAUUGCAUAAGUUAUGUGAAAAACGUGAUUCAUCUCGUUAGUGGAGGGAUUAAUAUUUAUAGAGGUUACCAAACACAUAAAAUCGAAAAUUAUCUUGUAAGGAUGAAUAUAUAUAAGUUUCAAAACCAAAAUAGCUUUAAGUCCCAAGACAAGAAAGACAUCAAUGCGGGAAACAAAACACAAAUGAAACUACUGUACUCAACGGUGAAUGGUCGAGGAAAG